GUAGAUUCAGUGGCCACUGAGGUCCAUUCUGGUUCUAAAUAUAUGAUCCAAUUAUAAAUUUUUGGGUUCUUGGAACCAACAGUAUAUUUCAGAUGUAGCCUGAACAAGGAAGAGUAGAGUAAGAUUGUCUCCUCUUUCUUUUAUAUGCUAGACCAGUGAUGACAAACCUUUUAAAGACCAAGUGCCAGGCCCUGCCCUGCCAGAUGGAGUGCCAUGUCCACUCCCUCCCUCAGGGACCACAUACUGGGCAUGUUCCCCCUUACCCUACACAGUGGAGGGAGAAAGUGUUCCCAUUGGGCUGCUGGACAGAGAGUCCUCAUCUGGAGCACUUAUGACUGACCAAACCAUCAGGAAGAAAACUAGAGAGACAAGUGUGAAUAAUGAUGCCAGGUAUGUGGAGAAUCAUAUGUGUCUGUACCUGUAGCUGAAAUUUUCUUUAGAAUCUAAGGAUUCAAAUAGAUGACUUGUUUUGUGUUUCCAAUUCCUUCUUUUUGUGAUUGUGGGUAAUUGAUGUCUGUGCAAUUUAUUGAGAGUCAGCUACAUCUUCCGUCUCUUCCAUAUUCUGCUCUUCUCUCUAUAGCCAAAGCCCUUUUUGAAGUUAGCAGGAGGUUCUUUGAU
rnacentral:lncRNA from 1 species